AUAUAUAUCUCGGGGGGGGACACGACACAGAGUCUAGAAGAUAGCUUUCCUUAGUCCUGUAAGCUGCACCACCAGUGGCAGACUGGAUGGUUUUUCAUUCUUUAUUAGCCCAACUAUAAAAUUAAUGUAAUAAUAUUGGCUCUCUUAGAGGUACAGACAAAAUUCCCAUGUUCAGGUUUCAGGCAACAGUGCAAAUGCCAUGCUAUAUUUUGUGUUAAUUAUUUGUUAGUAAACAUUUACACACAGUGUCUGAACUCUUAAUUGAAAAUAACUGUUUCCUGACUUUUUUUAAAUGUUAUAUUAUUUUUUUUUUUUUUUUACUUUUUUUGAGACGGUCAGCGCAAAGAGUGAAUCCAGCCUGGCCCUGAGCAUCUCCAGGAAUGGGAUACCCACACCUCUCUGGACAACCUAUGCCAGGGCCUCACCGCCCUCUGAGCAAAGAAAUUCCUCCUCACAUUUAACAAAAUUCCCUGAGUUAAAACUACAAAAAAGCCCUCAACGUCAAAACCGGUCUUCCAAGCCUAAACAUAUUUUGAGACAAUCUCCAAGCCUAGAUGAUUUCUCCCUUCACGAACAGAAACAUCCAUACUCAGCAAUCCUGGGGGCAGAGCGGAUUUGUUCACUGCUGCAGAUGUCUCUGUUCAUUGCAGGGGAGUUGGACUAGAUGACCUUUAAGUGUUUCUUCCAAUCCAACUGAUUAUAUGAAGUUUGUACAGUGGUUUGAAAAUACAGAAGUCCUCCAUAUCAUUCUGUUUUAGAAACCAUACAGCUAUCAGCAUACCUAAGUCCCUCUCAGUGAACGAUUCCUUCUCAGCAUACAGCUAAUCAUUAAGCAGAAAAGAUGGAUCCUCAAGAGCACAGGAAAUAUCAGAAGUCUUCGCUGAAGCCAGAGAGUUAGAUGGCCUUCUGACACUCUCAGAGCCGAGUCACAACAUACCAAACUUUUAUUUGUGAAUGGGCCUUUGGGAUUUCUGUGCUGAGAGAAGCAGCAGGGCAUGGAUCAAGCUGUGUCUUCCCUGAACCACCGCACAAGGCUUCACUAACUUGUCAGCAAGCAUCCCUGGACUCACAGUGCUCCAUCUUUUCAGAGGGAUUGUGGAGAGGGAUCAGGAGCGUGCAGCAAUUUCCUAUGGCACCAAAUACCAACCAUAUGAGUGGAGCCUCAUAGUUUAGAGUGCUAAAGUCUGUCUCUGCAGGGAAGAGCAAAUUGCCUCACACAGAGCUCUAAGACUACCACAGAACACUUGUUGUCCUCUGCUGACAGCUACCAGAAGAGCACCGAAUCAAAACCAGUCAGCAGGCACCCGGUUUGCUGGAAGGAGUUUGAUCUGAUGCAUGCUUGUACUCCCUAGUUACUGUUCACAUCCCUCAUAGCAGGACAUCCAAAAUAAGGAACAGACCUACAUGUUUUGAAACACAUUGAGAACUAGAGAAUGAGUUUGAGAUUUUUUUGCUUCCUAGCUACACCAAAAUAACUAUUUUCAUGUUUGAAGUAAUUAUUUUCAUUAUUCUUAUCAUUGUAGACUUCAAUAUAUAUAUAUGCUCACACUUACCCAGUUCCAGGACCUCAGGAUUUUAAAAACUCAAAGCUAAAUCAUCAACACUGGCACUAUUGCUUUACUUCACUACAAUGAACGUCAGUGUUAAAAUAAUAGAAGACGCGGCUCCGUAUCUCUGAAAGUGUUUAAACUAACGCUCGUGUGAAAGAAGCCUUAGUUCUAAACUUCACGCUGUACUGGAUAUUCUCUCCGAAGGACUGGCCCGCAAUACUGACCAUAUUUUAUUACUUUAAGUCAUACUCUGACUAUUGUAUGUUUCAUAAUCCAUGAAGUUUGACUUCUUAAUCAUUUUGUCACUGGCUUUUUCAUCUCAUGCUGUAAAUCAGCAUUACAGAGAUAAAAAGACACUUCUGGUUAAGAUUUUUGCAUUUGAUAAAAGCAGGGAAAAAAAAAAAAAAAAGUAAUUUACCUCCAACUCUCCAAGUCAUUAAUCAGGAGUUUUCCAUUGUGUUCUCUAGGAGUUGAGUAAUGACACAGCAGUAAUGUGUUGUGUUGAUCCUCCUCCACUGUGACAUCUUUCUGCCUUCUGCUUGAGUUGAUACACAAAGAGCAAGGAAACAUCAUAGGUCUUGUUUUGCUUUUGGCAGCUGUAACAAUAGGGUUUCCCCUCAUCUCACACCCACGCUGCGUGUUUCCUCAGGAUUCACACCUGUAAGGUUAAAACUGCACAGCAGAGCCAUUUUUUCCAUUUUUGUUUAUAAAAAGAAAAAAAAUAAAUAAAUCAACAAUAAAGAGAGCAGCAACCACAA